GAUGAACGCCGGCGAUGUGCCUAAUACAUGCAAGUCGUACGCACUGGCCCAGCUGAUUGACGGUGCUUGCACCAGAUUGACGCUGGAUACCCAGUGAGUGGCGGACGGGUGAGUAACACGUGGGUAACCUGCCCCGGAGCGGGGGAUAACAUUUGGAAACAGAUGCUAAUACCGCAUAACAACGAAAACCACAUGGUUUUCGUUUGAAAGAUGGCAUAUGCUAUCACUCUGGGAUGGACCCGCGGUGCAUUAGCUAGUUGGUAAGGUAACGGCUUACCAAGGCGAUGAUGCAUAGCCGAGUUGAGAGACUGAUCGGCCACAAUGGAACUGAGACACGGUCCAUACUCCUACGGGAGGCAGCAGUAGGGAAUCUUCCACAAUGGGCGCAAGCCUGAUGGAGCAACACCGCGUGAGUGAAGAAGGGUUUCGGCUCGUAAAGCUCUGUUGUUGGAGAAGAACGUACCUGAGAGUAACUGUUCAGGUAGUGACGGUAUCCAACCAGAAAGUCACGGCUAACUACGUGCCAGCAGCCGCGGUAAUACGUAGGUGGCAAGCGUUAUCCGGAUUUAUUGGGCGUAAAGCGAGCGCAGGCGGUUGCUUAGGUCUGAUGUGAAAGCCUUCGGCUUAACCGAAGAAGUGCAUCGGAAACCGGGCGACUUGAGUGCAGAAGAGGACAGUGGAACUC
rnacentral:rRNA from 1 species